rnacentral:rRNA from 1 species
UACGGAGGGGGCUAGCGUUGUUCGGAAUUACUGGGCGUAAAGCGCACGUAGGCGGCCUUUCAAGUCGGACGUGAAAGCCCCGGGCUUAACCCGGGAAUUGCGUUUGAUACUGUUGGGCUUGAGACCGGGAGAGGAUAGCGGAAUUCCCAGUGUAGAGGUGAAAUUCGUAGAUAUUGGGAAGAACACCAGUGGCGAAGGCGGCUAUCUGGACCGGUACUGACGCUGAGGUGCGAAAGCGUGGGGAGCAAACAGG